GAGCGGGCGUAGCAAUACGUCAGCGGCAGACGGGUGAGUAACGCGUGGGAACGUACCUUUUGGUUCGGAACAACACAGGGAAACUUGUGCUAAUACCGGAUAAGCCCUUACGGGGAAAGAUUUAUCGCCGAAAGAUCGGCCCGCGUCUGAUUAGCUAGUUGGUGAGGUAAUGGCUCACCAAGGCGACGAUCAGUAGCUGGUCUGAGAGGAUGAUCAGCCACAUUGGGACUGAGACACGGCCCAAACUCCUACGGGAGGCAGCAGUGGGGAAUAUUGGACAAUGGGCGCAAGCCUGAUCCAACCAUGCCGCGUGAGUGAUGAAGGCCCUAGGGUUGUAAAGCUAUUUUGUGCGGGAAGAUAAUGACGGUACCGCAAGAAUAAGCCCCGGCUAACUUCGUG
rnacentral:rRNA from 1 species